GAUGGGAGCUUGCUCCCUGAGAUUAGCGGCGGACGGGUGAGUAACACGUGGGCAACCUGCCUAUAAGACUGGGAUAACUUCGGGAAACCGGAGCUAAUACCGGAUACGUUCUUUUCUCGCAUGAGAGAAGAUGGAAAGACGGUUUACGCUGUCACUUAUAGAUGGGCCCGCGGCGCAUUAGCUAGUUGGUGAGGUAAUGGCUCACCAAGGCGACGAUGCGUAGCCGACCUGAGAGGGUGAUCGGCCACACUGGGACUGAGACACGGCCCAGACUCCUACGGGAGGCAGCAGUAGGGAAUCUUCCGCAAUGGACGAAAGUCUGACGGAGCAACGCCGCGUGAACGAAGAAGGCCUUCGGGUCGUAAAGUUCUGUUGUUAGGGAAGAACAAGUACCAGAGUAACUGCUGGUACCUUGACGGUACCUAACCAGAAAGCCACGGCUAACUACGUGCCAGCAGCCGCGGUAAUACGUAGGUGGCAAGCGUUGUCCGGAAUUAUUGGGCGUAAAGCGCGCGCAGGUGGUUC
rnacentral:rRNA from 1 species